GUCCAGACAACGGUGAUGUGGUAUUUUCCAAGCACAUAUCUGAGAGCUCUGUGUGGAAACCAAACUAUUUCUGAGUGGUUUUGGAC
rnacentral:snoRNA from 1 species